rnacentral:lncRNA from 13 species
CUAUGAGAAAACACAGAACACCUGUUUGUUAAUGAUAAUCACCUGUUCAGAGGGAGAAUAAAUACGUGGAUCAGCGUCUGCUCAAGGCCCUCACGCCUCUGAGGCUCUCCGCUCGGAAGGCUGUUAGCCCCCAAAUACUCCCACUUUGCUGUUCUAUCUGGGUGUCUGCUUCUUGAGGCCUUCAGCGCCGCCUGGGUGGGAUCCUCUACAGCAGUACUGGUCUCAGUAAAAGGGAGGAUAGCGAGGUACCUAGAAUAGGAAAAUUCAGAGACAGAAGGCAGAACAGAGGUUACCAGGGGCUGAGGGAAGAGGGAUGAAGUGUUAUUAUUUAAUAGGUACAAGGCUGGGCAUGGUGGCUUUCGCUGUAAUCCCAGCACUUUGGGAGGCUGAGGUGGGUGGAUCAUUUGGGGUCAGGAGUUCAAGACCAGCCUGACCAACAUGGUGAAACCCUGUCUCACUAAAAAUACAAAAUAAACCCAGGAGGUGGAGGUUUCAGUGAGCCAACAUUGUGCCACUGCACGCAAGCCUGGGUGACAAAGCAAGACUCCAUCUCAAAAAAAAAAAGAUACAGAUUUCCUGUUUGGAAAAAGUUCUGGAGAUGGAUGGUGAAGAUAUUGCAGGAAAGAGCUCCCAAUCCAGACUCCGAGAGAGGGAUCUUAGAUCUCACACAAGGAAGAAUUCAGGGCAAGUCUGUAAAGGGAGAAAGCAAGCUUAUUAAGACAGUAAAGGAAUGAAAGAAGGCCUACCCCACAGAGCAGCCACAAGGGCCGCUGGCUACCCGUUUUCAUGGUGAUUUUUUGAUGAUAUGGUAAACAAGGGAUGGAUUAUUCAUGUCUUCCUUUUUUAGACCAUAUAGGGUAACUUCCUGAUGUGGCCGUGGUAUCUGCAAACUGUCAUGGCGCUGGUGGGAAUGCAGCAGUGAGGAUGACCAGAAGUCACCCAUGUCACCAUCUUGGUUUUGAGACAAGCCCUCACUAUGUUGCCCAGGCUGGUCUCAAACUUCUGGGCUCAAGCAAUCCUCCCACCUCAGCCUUCUGGGAACCUGGGACUACAGGUGUGUAUCACUGUAUCUGGGCACAGGAUUCACUUGCUUUUCAACAAAUUGCAAAAGGAGGUCACAGAGUGAUAGAACUGAGAUCUGAUCCACGUGUCUGCGGAAGUGUAGCUGCCAGACUCUGUGGUGUUAUCAAACGUGCAGGUGGGUGGUUAAUUUGGGUUCUGCCCCUUAGCCCUAGUAAGACAUGCAGGGGAAACCCCUUUCCCUUGCUGCUUGGCCAGCUCUCUGGGGACACAGGAACCAGGUAGGGCAGGGGAACAGGCCCCAGGGAAAGCAAGGUGAAAGGGAAAAGGCUGGACCAGUAGUCCUAGCUACUUGGGAAGCUGAGGUGGGAGGAUCACCUAAACCCAGGAGUUCAAGCCUGCAUUGAGCUGUGGUCGCCCCACUGCACUCCAGCCUGGGCAACAGUGAGACCCUGACCCAAAUAAUAAUAAAUAAAAAUGCAGGCCAAGCGCA